UUAGAUUUCUAAUAUAAUAUAGUAUUGUCCUGUCAACCAAUCACAAGUCUUGCCUUAUUCUGUGUUCUCUUCUUUCCUCUAGAGCAUAGUCUUCAUUUUGUUUUCACGAUUACCUUGGCUGACACACACGUCAUGCAUCCAAUGGCACAACAGCUGCUACUGAGGUUAAAAGAUAGAUUGAUUUCUGUCAUCAAUAGAGUACCUAUUGAUUUUGAGUACCUCCUAUUUGUCUCCACCCAAGAGUUGCAGUUUAUUCAAGCUGGCACACAAUACUUGGAUAUUCCUGCAGAGUUGGUGGAUGGUCUGCAAGAGUUGAUUUCAGUGCUCAGUUCACAUCUGUCACAGAAUACAGUUCCUCCUCUAUUUAGUGAUGUAGCCACAGUUUGUUGGAGUGGGAAUAUAGGACGGCCAGAACUUCAAAUGAGUCGUGACACACUACAGACAUUGCUGGAUACCUCUUUACCCCUAGUUCAUUUAGCAGAAAUGCAUGGCAUUUCAAGGUCAACUCUUUACAGAAGAAUGAAGGACCACAACAUAUCAGUGAGGGCAUGCUAUUCUUUAAUUUCUGAUGAAGAAUUAGAGCAGAAAGUCAGAGCCAUUAAGGGAAGGAUGCCGCAUGCGGGCUACAGAAUGGUCAAAGGAAAUCUCCGAGCAAUGGGUCUUCGUCUUCAAUGGAAAAGAGUGAGGCUGUCUUUGCAACGUGUAGAUGGUGCAGAUAUCAUUUCCAGGAUGAUUCAGCUUCAUUGCAUUGCUCGACGACGGUACUCUGUUCCUGCUCCCCUGUCUCUUGUCCACAUUGAUACAAAUCAUAAAUUGAUAAGGUAAAUUAAUGUCUUGUCUGGCAGAACUUAUUUUACAUUUAUAUGAUGUUGCUUGUUGAUCAAUGCACUGUGUUGUAUGAUGUGGGAGUUCUAUAUAAGCCUGUAAUAAACAAUGAAUAAUAUAUUUUUUUAAAUCCAUUUUUUUAAAGGUAUAACAUUGUCAUCUUUGGAGGAGUAGAUGGAUUUUCCCGGAAGUUAAAUGUUUUCUAUUCAUUCACAAGCUAUUUACCCUCAUUAAUAAGUUCACAACAUACAUGGUACGCAUCUACCUCUUUCAUAGAUUUUGUAUCUGGACACAGCAGCUAACAACAAAGCAUCAACUGCUUUUGGAUUCUUCAUGGAGAGUGUUCAGAGAAAUGGAUGGCCCUCCAGAGUGAGGGCUGAUCAAGGGGUGGAAAAUGUCGACAUUGCCAGGUGUAUGUUUACUGUCCGAGGAACAGGCCGUGGAAGCUUUAUAGCAGGCAAAAGUGUCCAUAACCAGAGGUAACAAAAUGAACUUGUCAACAUCGGCUUUUUUGAUAAUCCUACUCAUACUGGUGGAGUAAGCAGUACUCUGCUUUUGUGCAACAAAAGACCAUUUUUUAUAGUAGCCGCUUUGACAGAGCUGAAGGUAAACUAUUAUUUUAAUAAGACUGACAAGAAGCAUUAAUUAUAUUAUGUUUGUGUUUUGUUGGUCAAUUAUAUCAGUCUGACCGGAUGUUGGUUUAUCCUCUGUCAAGAUGGCUGCUUUCCAACAUGCUCCAUGGCAUGCUGGUUAUAGUUGGCAGUCAUAGCUUAUAUUGGACAGUGUACACACCUGGCACCUUUGCUCUCUCCUAUACUCUCCACUCCUGAUUGAAAUUUCCCGGUUAUGAACUAGGGCUGCCACUUCUGAUUAUUUUGAUAAUCGACUAGUCAUCAGUUAUUCUGGUGAGUAGUUGAUUAAUGAGAUCAGAUGUAAAUUGAAGCAUAUUCACAGCACCACUCAAAAGUUUAGACACUUACUCCUUGAAUCGGAUGAAAAAUGCUUAUUCUCAUACGUGUGUGCUUUUAUAUAAAUGUCAGCAUACAAUUCAAUAAAGCUGACCAGACAGAAAGGCAGCAGAAUGUACAGAGGCAAUCUUGUGAUGGAAAAAACAAGGCUUUAAAACAAUAAACAAGCAGUCAAUUAUUAAAAUAAUUGCUAACUACUGAUAGUCAACAUAAUCACAAUUAAUUUGCUAAUCAAGGUAGACCUAGUGUGAACUAACAGAAAAACACACCGGCUUAAAAGUAGAUGCAUCACUUAAAAACCAUGAAUUCCAUUUGUUAAUGAAAAUACAACACCAUUGUCUCUUUUUCUAACCAUUGGCUGUUGGCCUCUUUUCAGUGUGGAACGCUUAUGGAGAGAUGUUUGGAGUUGUGUAACGUCAAACUACUACAAUGCACUACACAGCUUAGAGGAAGAGGGCUUCAUUGACCUGUCUAAUGAGAUCCACCUUUUCUGUGUGCAAUAUGUGUUCAUACCUCGUCUGCGGUCAGAUCUACAGCAUUUCAUAGACAGUUGGAACAAUCAUCCAAUCUGCACAGAGGCAAACCUUACACCUCAACAGAUGUGGAACAUUGGAAUGCUUCAAGCACCUGUGCCUGAGCCAAACUAUGCAGAGCUUCAGCACAUUGAACAUCAGGAGGAGGUAUCUGAAGACACUGACCAUGGGGUUGUUGUUCCUGAUACUCCAUCCCCCCUCUCUGCAGAGAAUCUUGCUCUGCUGCAACAUGAAGUGAAUCCUAACUCUGACUCCUUAUCCUUUGGUCGGGACAUAUACCUGCGUGCUCUUCAUUUUGCAAUGACCCAUGUGUAAAUGGACAGACACUACUCAGACACCACUCAGCUUUGAAUGAAGCGAUAACAUGCCUGAGGCUUCCUGAUGGAUAACUACGUCACUUUACUGAUCAUCCCCUGGGGCUUGCUCUGUCCAUAACUCCACCAUUGUCUGGUCCCUGCCUUCCUGUUAAUGGAUUUCUACACUUCCUUUACUCACCGAGUGAGGUCUUAAUAUAAUGGCAGUAAAAU